rnacentral:rRNA from 1 species
UACGUAGGGUGCGAGCGUUGUCCGGAAUUAUUGGGCGUAAAGGGCUCGUAGGCGGUUUGUCGCGUCGGGAGUGAAAACCUUGGGCUUAACUCAGGGCUUGCUUUCGAUACGGGAAGACUAGAGGUAUGCAGGGGAGAGCGGAAUUCCUGGUGUAGCAGUGAAAUGCGCAGAUAUCAGGAGGAACACCGGUGGCGAAGGCGGUUCUCUGGGCAUGAUCUGACGCUGAGGUGCGAAAGUGUGGGGAGCGAACAGG